ACAAGCAAGAUCUUGAUUUUCACUGAGUUGAUAAGCUGAUAUUUUAUCGUUGCUAAAAUUUUACUCAAUUAUUCUGAUGUUUCGUAUGAGUCUCAAUAUAUUUAAGUGCAGGUUUUUGGCAUAUUGGGGUGAAAAUUAUCAAAUUUAUCUAGAAAUUAAGUGUAACAAAAAGUGAAAUAACAACAAUACCACAAAAACUAUCUCCAGAAUAUUUUUGAAACAUAAACAGUUAACAAAAAGAAGUUAAUGCGGGAGACUAUAACCGACAAGUUGUUAAAAACAACAAUCUGAAAAAAAUUGUAAUAAACUUCUCAUCAAAUUUUGCACAAAUAUUAACUGAUCUGCUCCAUCAUAUUGAUCCCAGUCAGUCAGAGUAUUUCCAUAGUGAAUGACUUUGCAUCAGCAGCUCCAUGCUCCAGCGCUCUGGGAGAGUUUAUAGUCCUGACAGUUGAACACUGGAUGACUGACAGCUGUCCUUCAUCACAACAGAAGACACAUAAAUCCUCCUCAUCACAAACAUGACUUUGAUCUGCGUCCUCAUCUGGACUCUCCUCUGCUGCUGCUUCACAGAGGUGAGAGGUCAGAUCACAGUAACUCAGCAGCCUUCAGCAGUGAGAGCUGAUCUGGGAAGAUCUGCCACCAUCACCUGUAGGACCAGUCAGAAUGUUUAUAACAACAACUACUUGGUGUGGUACCAACAGAAAGAUGGACAAACUCCUAAGCUCCUCAUUUAUACUACCAGCACUAAAGCAUCAGGGACUCCAAGUCGUUUUUCAGGCAGUGGAUCAAACUCUGACUUCACUCUGACCAUCAGUGGAGUUCAGGCUGAAGAUGCUGCAGUUUACUACUGUCAGAGUUUUCAUUACCCCAACAGCCAGUAUGUGUUCACACAGUGA